rnacentral:rRNA from 1 species
UACGGGGGGUGCGAGCGUUGUCCGGAAUCACUGGGCGUAAAGGGCGCGUAGGUGGUUUGAUAAGGGUGUGGUGAAAGCCCGGGGCUCAACCCCGGGUCUGCCGUGCCGACUGUCAAACUCGAGGGCUGUAGAGGCAGACGGAAUUCCGGGUGUAGCGGUGGAAUGCGUAGAGAUCCGGAGGAAGACCGGUGGCGAAGGCGGUUCUCUGGGCCGAUACUGACGCUGAGGAGCGAAAGCGUGGGGAGCGAACAGG